UCUCAUUUAUUUUGUGGGGGUCUCUUUUGGGAGAUUCUUUGUAGUAAUGUUUCUGUUCGGGGUCUUUUUGUGGUGUUCUGUUUUUGGUUGGGGUUUUGUGGAAGUCUGGUUUUGGGAGCGGGAUUUUCUUUCGGGGAGGGGUUUUAAUGAGGGGGGGGCUGGGUUUUAAUGGGGGGGCUCCUGGGUCUCUUGUUGGAGGGGGGAGGUCUCCCUCAGAGAGGCUUUGGGGCAGUAUUUCAGCCCCAGGGCUGUGCGAGGAGUUCCUUAAGGGGCUGCUCAGAGGAGCGCUCAGUUCUCCCUCUUCUUUUGUGAGGGGGGAAAAAGGGGUCGGUCAGUUGGGGGGGGUACGACUCGGGGGCCCCCCCGGGGUCGGUGCUCCCAUGGCAGGAGGUGGAGCUGCUGCUGGGGGAGACGAGGAUGCUGCAGGGGAAGCUGCAGAGCCAGGAGGACGAUUUCCGCCUGCAGAACAGCACUUUGCUGCGGGAGUUAGCUUUUGAGGUCCCCAUUUAACAGGGGUGCUGUGGGGGUCUCAGCUGUGUGCGCAGAUCGAGGGACUGGAAAAGGAGAACCAACGCCUGCGGGAUGGGGGGGGUCCAGGACCUCCACCCAGGGAUCCUUUGGGUACUUCGGGACCCCCCCAGGAUAGGGGUGAUGGCGACGCGGGGGUCCUUCCAGCCCCCAUGGAGGCCCCCCAGGAGCCCCCCAAGGAGCUGCAGACAGCAGAGGAGGGGGGGGCUGGAGGUGGGGACACCCCCAANNNNNNNNNNNNNNNNNNNNNNNNNNNNNNNNNNNNNNNAGGGGUAUAUGGGGGGGUGGGGAGGGUAGGGGAUGUCUGUAGGGGAACUGGGGGCUGUGGGAAGGGAUUUGAAAAUGGGGGGAAGAUUGGGGGGGAUUUGGGGUGCAAAUGGGGGAGGGAGAGGAUGGAGGUGGAGGUCGUGGGAGGGAGAAUCGGAGACAAAGAGAAGUUUGCAGGGAGCAGGAGGGGAAGAAGAUGAUGGCUGGGGGAAUUUGGGGUUAAAAUGGUUCUUUAGGGAGGGGCUGUGGGUGUUUGGAUGUGCUUCUGUGCAUUUUCCCCCCCAGAGGUCGAAGGGAGCUGGGGGGGGUCGGGGGUCCCAGAAAGUUUUGGGACCCCAACACCCCUCCCUCCCCCCCCAACCUGAACCACCCCCAGGGCAGAGGCGGAACAGGAAAUUAGGGAGCUGCAGGAGCAGAAGAGGCGGCUGCAAGAGGAGCUGGAGGCUGCUGCACAGGUGGAGAAGGGGCUGCGGGAGCAGAGUGAGACGCUCAGCCGGGAGCUGCAGGAGGUCCAGAGCCGACACGAUGCCCUUCAGGCUCAGCUCCAGGAGCGCUCCCAGGAGCAGGAGGAGCUGCGGCAGCGCUUGGAGGCAGCUGAGAGCACGCAGGGGGACACAGAGCAGCGCCUGCGGCAGGCACAGGAGCUGCUGGAGCUGCAGGCACAGGAGCACAUGGCAGCCACCCGCGCCCACCGGGAGCAGCACCAGGCAGAGCUGGAGGGUCGUGUUGGGGAGCUGCGGGCGUUGCUGGGCGAUGCAGAGCGGCAGCGGGAGCUGCAGGAGGCUGAGGGCCGGGCGCUGCGCCAGGAACUGAAGGACGUCCGGGACGGGCAGCGCAUCC
rnacentral:lncRNA from 1 species